rnacentral:lncRNA from 1 species
CUCCUUCGACGAGGUCACCAGCGUCUACUAAAGGCCUUCCUUCAAUAGGUGAAGAUCGAACACCUCUUUACAACACUUUCUCCUUUUCCCAGGUUUAGGAGAUGAACCCUUACAAGUCUCACUCUUUCUUGGAUGAUUAUAAGGUUAAGAGAUGAAGGAGGAGAAUUCUAAAUUUUACAACACUUUAAGACUCAAGACUUCAAGAUUAAGCCAAUAGUUCCAUGCCCUUUCAUGUAGAAAAGGGUGGGGUUUUAUAGGCCCCAAUGACUUCAAAAUUGGAGCCAAAAAGUGUCACAUCCCCGG